rnacentral:lncRNA from 1 species
AAUAGCCUCAUCAUUCAAGUCAGGCAAAGUUCUGCCUCCCCUGAAAUCACUGGCAGUCUUCAAAAGUUCUAGAGAACAGAUUAUGCUGACUCUCCAGAGCCUAAAUUUACCUUUCCUUCAAAAAUAAGUCAGACUGAGGAAUGAGUAGCACUUGCUUUUGCACAGCAGUGAGGCAAGGAGUUCACUGUUUAUUCUGAUUUGGAUCCAAGCUCUGACAAUGACAGAACAGCUGGAUGUCAGGAACCAAACCUCUCACAAUGAUCCCCUGGCAGGGGUAAGCCCUUGUGCAAUUUACCCUUUUUGUCCGUAACUAAGAAACAGACAUUGAUUAGUGCCAUGCAGUCACAAAUCCUCCCACAAAAGCUGGGAGCUCCAAAUUUUCCAAGGGUCCAGGGCCCCAUCUUUUUCUUUUAUCUGUUUGGUUCUUUAUAGGCAGACAAGCACUGAAAGCACUGAGGUGAUAGUGCAGAUAAGAAUGUUUACUUGACAUUCGUGUUAAAACAUUGCUGGAAGCAGCAGAAGUAGCCUCAGGACUCUGCUCCCACCUGCGUCAGGUCAGGGAGGGAGCAACACCAAACUCUGUCGGAGGAUGAGCUGGACCACACAAUGACGAUGCUGCUCAGCAGAGCCCUGUGAGCUCAAGAAAGCUGCAGGGAGUAACACAGCAUGGAUUGCAGCAUAGCACUGCAUCCCCUCUUCUUGGCAGAGGCAGCCAGUGGUGUGUUCUCCAACAUGUGCCCUCAGGAUGGUGUCUCCACUCAAUGUGAGCCUCUCGGUUUCCUCCCACACAAGACAUCUGAGAACAUGUUUGUGGUAAACUUACAAGAAGAAAGAUUUCAAAACAACUGUCCCUUUUCUGGAAGGCUCCUCUUCUCAAAUGACCUUAAAAAAAUAUCAAGCAACACGUACCUUUAACAGAAGACAUACUGCUAAAAGAUGUAUGUAUCUGUGCUUCUCCAGAGUGAGGGGUAAGGGCGAGGUAAGAUGUGGUGAAGGUAAGAAAUGCUGAGGACCUGCUGUUGGGAAGAAUGUGCAGGUAGAUGGCAGCUCUGCCAGGCAUGACCCUGUGCUGGAAGGUGAGUGCCACUGUCACGGGGAUGUCCCCAUGUGGAAAGGCUGGGCCACAUCUCCCUGUCCCCAUGUGGAGAGGCUGGGCUACAUCUCUGUCAGAUGACAAAAUAUCAUCAGGGAGUGACCCUAGGCACCAGUCUGGAACAUAAGGCCUGUGUGGCCUAGUACAGCCUGGUCCAGGCCCACCAGUGUCCUCCUUGGGGUCAUUGUCCAUGGGGUCUCAGCUCCAGAAAGCAACUGCGAGCACCAUUUAUUGGAGCUGGCUUGCUACCAGCUGCACAGGGAGACAGCAUUUUUGGAUGUAAAAAUAUUUUAUAGGUUGGGAGUUCAAUUUAAUUAGGUAAUAGUUUGGUUUAAAAUGGGAAUAUUUUUCCCCUGACAAUAUUAUUUACCAUGAGGGUUCCUUUUUUGGUGUGUGUGAAACUUUCUGAAUUUUAAUGGCAGGAAAAAAAAAAACACAAAGGAUUAUGCUGUACACUUAGUCAUCUUUGAUGUAGUGUUCUGAUACCCCAUGCUUUUUAAAUUUUUCUUAACCUGUUGUGAAAAUUAAAUACUGUGCUGACUCCUCUACCAAGUGCAAGAGGACACACUCAUUUUCAUACCUCAUACCUGCAGUUGUAAAUGCUGGAGGACUUCUCUGCAGUAAUGUCCACACAUCAAAACAGUAUGCUCACAUUUAGAAAUAAUACUACUACAUGCAAACUGUGACAAAAUGCCCAGGGGCUUCUCUCUUUUCUUUGAGAGGCUGUACAUUUCUUAUGCCUUCCUUCCUGCUGAAAUUCAACAAGAAAUCUGAUUUCUUUUGGAAACUGAACAUCAACAAGAUUUCCGUCUUCUCUGUCAUAAGCAUAUAGACUACAAUAGAUCUCACAGGUUUUUUUUGUUCUUGUUAGAUUCAAUCAAGUGCUGAGCCACAAACUGAACAGACUGUUCAGACUGAAAAAAUAAAUAAAUAAAAAAUAAAAGUUAUGUUUUCA